UCCUUUUGGGCUUUGCUCUACUCCCUCUCUCACUCCAUGAGUUUACCUAUUGAACUCUCCUAUAUAAGCCUUUGCUCCUUCUAGAUUAUGCUUCCUCUUCUCUUACUCCCCUGAUCUUGCUGCUGAAAUUUUCUGCUCCUUUAGUUGAUUUCAUGACCUCAGCUUUCUCUCUUCUCCCAGACUUUUAGCCUUCUCUGGGAUUUCUUCCUCUCUUCAGCCUGAAUCCAGGGCUCAUCAUACGCUGAUAUUUUUAUCAGCAUCCUAAAUUUUCCCAUCCCCUCCAACUUUUGCUGGACCUAUCAACCCUCCUCCAUUUUCUGCAUCAGCCUAUUUUCUUCUCCUUUUUCCUGGCUGCUAAAUGCGACACACUCAUAAUUGACAGGCCCAGUAUUUAUUGGAAAUUCAUUAACUUGUCAUUACUCUUCUUUCCUAUCCAUGCCCUUUGUGUCAGCUCUCAGCAAAAUGACUGACCUCAGUGUCUGCUUCACAGAAGUGAGAUCAAAGCAAGAACUUCCUUGUCCACUUUUCUCUCUCCCUUCUAUUGACCUCUGUUGGUACCUCUCCUCAUUUCCUUCCCUCUUCCUCCUAGUUUUCUAUUUAAAAAAUCCUAUUAUAUGCCUUCAAGGCUUUGCUCCCUCACUGCUGCUCCCACUUCCUGGGGUCUUCUGUCUCCCUCUCCUUUGGUUACCUCCAAGUACUCUGCAAGCAACCAAAGUUCUCACACGAUUAAUAAAAAUGUUUAGGAUUUGUUGUCCUUUGCACUCUUCCCUUAUUAGCUAAGCUUGUUUAAAAAAUACACACAGACAUACACACACACAUAAUUUUUUUAUUUGGUACUCCUAUAAGCUCAGCAACUUG
rnacentral:lncRNA from 1 species